UAGCGGCGGACGGGUGAGUAACGCGUGGGAACAUACCCUUUGGUACGGAAUAGCCUCGGGAAACUGGGAGUAAUACCGUAUGUGCCCUUCGGGGGAAAGAUUUAUCGCCAAAGGAUUGGCCCGCGCUAGAUUAGGUAGUUGGUGGGGUAAUGGCCUACCAAGCCUACGAUCUAUAGCUGGUCUGAGAGGACGACCAGCCACACUGGGACUGAGACACGGCCCAGACUCC
rnacentral:rRNA from 1 species